rnacentral:tRNA from 1 species
CAGGGAGACAACAAAAUGUUUAAUAUUAUUAUUUUGUCACCUUAGGUCGAUCGGUAUCUCACGUUUUUAAUUUAUUAAGAAUUUCAUUUCCUAAGUUUUUCUAGGUCACACCCAUUAUUUUUCCUGGGCCAUUAGCUCAGGUGGUUAGAGCGCACCCCUGAUAAGGGUGAGGUCCCUGGUUCAAGUCCAGGAUGGCCCAUAUCUCUAUGUUGGGGGUAUAGCUCAGUUGGUAGAGCGCCUGCUUUGCAAGCAGGAUGUCAGCGGUUCGAGUCCGCUUACCUCCACUGAUUACCACCUCUUCCAUAACCGGUAGUAAGGGAAUGUUUUGAGUUGUGAUCAAAUUCUGAAAGAAUCUAGCUUCCUAAUGAAAUCAUUAAGAUGCUGGACUCAUUGAAUUAAUUUCAUUGUUUUCAGAGAACCUUGACAACUGCAUAGAUUAUUUUUAAAGACAAUAAGCAUCUUUUAAUGAUGCAGAUUUAUUAUUUGUGCGAAUGCAUUAAUAACAAUUCUAUUAAGCUGAUGCUUCAAUUUUUGAAGUUAUU